ACCCUUCCUCAUCAUCAUAACAAUCACCACAAUAAAUCUACUUCAAAUCAACAAUUAAACUCAUACAAUAUUCAAAUCCAACAACCAAAAUUCAACUAAGGAUCAUAGUUCACUAACCCUAGGCUUCUAACACGUAAUAUCUCAAAUCAAUAAUUCACCAAAUCAUUAGUUAAUCAACAAUAACAUUCAACCAUAAUUCUCUCCAAAUUAAC
rnacentral:lncRNA from 1 species